UACCUACGGGACGCAGCAGUGGGGAAUAUUACACAAUGGGGGAAACCCUGAUGCAGCGACGCCGCGUGAGUGAAGAAGUAUUUCGGUAUGUAAAGCUCUAUCAGCAGGGAAGAAAAUGACGGUACCUGACCAAGAAGCCCCGGCUAACUACGUGCCAGCAGCCGCGGUAAUACGUAGGGGGCAAGCGUUAUCCGGAUUUACUGGGUGUAAAGGGAGCGUAGACGGCAGUGCAAGUCCGGAGUGAAAGCCCGGGGCUCAACCCUGGGACUGCUCUGGAAACUGUAAAGCUGGAGUGCGGGAGGGGC
rnacentral:rRNA from 1 species